rnacentral:rRNA from 1 species
CAACCUGCCGAUAACUCGGGGAUAGCCUUUCGAAAGAAAGAUUAAUACCCGAUGGCAUAAUAGAACCGCAUGGUUUGAUUAUUAAAGAAUUUCGGUUAUCGAUGGGGAUGCGUUCCAUUAGGCAGUUGGUGGGGUAACGGCCCACCAAACCUUCGAUGGAUAGGGGUUCUGAGAGGAAGGUCCCCCACAUUGGAACUGAGACACGGUCCAA